rnacentral:lncRNA from 1 species
GGAGGCUCUCAUUCGCCCAAAAACACUCACACUCCAAAAAAGAGGUUUUCUUCAACCUUAAACCCUAAUUUACAGAGGGCUAGCUAGCUCUCUUUGUCAUAAAAGCUUGAGUUUGCUAACUUGAGCGUCGGAGUGUGAACGCCGGGGUACCCCGGCUUCACCUCUAACAUCUAUUUCAUUGUUUUGCAGGCGUGAACCUCAUUUUGAAGGAUACCUCGCUUGUUUCUGACCUUCCACCAUUGUUACCACUCUCUCUCCCCUUCUCACCUCCCCGGAAUUUCAAAUACACCGCACCGCACACAACAAACUAGUGAGGUACCCCACCUCCCUCAAAAAUAUAAAUUCAUUGUUCAAGAUAGAUUUUGGCUUUUCCUACCCCAAAAUCAGUUGAAAACAU